AUUGAACGCUGGCGGCAUGCCUUACACAUGCAAGUCGAACGGCAGCACGGGUGAUUUCGCCUGGUGGCUAGUGGCGAACGGGUGAGUAAGACAUCGGAACAUGUCCUGUAGUGGGGAAUAGCCCGGCGAAAGCCGGAUUAAUACCGCAUACGAUCUACGGCUGAAAGCGGGGGGCCGUCGUGCCUCGCGCUAUCGGGUUGGCCGAGGGGGGAUGAGCUAGUUGGUGGGGUAAUGGCGCACCAAGGCGACGGUCACUAGCUGGUCUGAGAGGAUGACCAGCAACACUGGAACUGAGACACGGUCCAGACUCCGACGGGAGGCAGCAGUGGGGAAUAUUGCACAAUGGGCGCAAGCCUGAUGCAGCCAUGCCGCGUGUGUGAAGAAGGCCUUCGGGUUGUAAAGCACUUUCAGCGAGGAGGAAGGUGGUGAGCUUAAUACGUUCAUCAAUUGACGUUACUCGCAGAAGAAGCACCGGCUAACUCCGUG
rnacentral:rRNA from 1 species